rnacentral:rRNA from 1 species
GGGAAUCUUGCGCAAUGCGCGAAAGCGUGACGCAGCAACGCCGCGUGGGGGAAGACGGCCUUCGGGUUGUAAACCCCUUUCAGUUGGGACGAAGGUUUGCCGGUGAAUAGCCGGUUGGACUGACGGUACCUUCAGAAGAAGCCUCGGCUAACUACGUGCCAGCAGCCGCGGUAAUACGUAGGGGGCAAGCGUUGUCCGGAAUCAUUGGGCGUAAAGAGCGUGUAGGCGGCUCGGUAAGUCCGCUGUGAAAGUCCAGGGCUCAACCCUGGAAUGCCGGUGGAAACUGUCGAGCUAGAGUCCGGAAGAGGCGAGUGGAAUUCCUGGUGUAGCGGUGAAAUGCGCAGAUAUCAGGAGGAACACCAAUGGCGAAGGCAGCUCGCUGGGACGGUACUGACGCUGAGACGCGAAAGCGUGGGGAGCAAACA